rnacentral:rRNA from 1 species
UACGUAGGGGGGCAAGCGUUGUCCGGAUUUAUUGGGCGUAAAGAGCCGUAGAGCGGCUUGCCGCGUCGACUGUGAAAACCCGAGGCUCAACUUCGGGCUUGCAGUCGAUACGGGCAGGCUAGAGUUCGGUAGGGGGAGACUGGAAUUCCUGGUGUAGCGGUGGAAUGCGCAGAUAUCAGGAGGAACACCAAUUGCGAAGGCAGCUUACUAAGGUGCAAUUGACGCUGAGGCACGAAAGCGUGGGGAUCAAACAGG